ensembl:lncRNA
UAUUACUGAUUAGAUAUAGACAUAAAUAUUACUGAUUAGAUAUUACUGAUCUCAGGUGUGACUUGAUAUUUAUCCAAUUUACCCAAAGAUCUUUAUUAUUUAGGGAAAUAUAUAUAUAUAUAUAUAUAUAUAUAUAUAUAUAUAUAUUUCCCUAAAUAAUAAAGAUCUUUGGGUAAAUUGGAUAAAUAUCAAGUCACACCUGAGAUCAGUAAUAUUAUGACAUCACAACAGUCAUAGCGCUUUGUACAAUAUAGACUGUCAAAGCAUUUUUUUUUUUUUUUUUUUUGCAGUAUUAAACAGAAACAACGUGUGCUGAUAAUGCAAAAGGACAAUUGAUUUAUCAGUUAAAGUCAGUCCAUCGUUGAUUCAGUCAUGUCAUCGUCCAGCUCCGUUCAGUUCUCUUCAAAUAGUGUCUGUGCAGUCAAGUCAACAAUGUUGCCAGAGAUUGUGUCCCCAACUACGCAAGCCAAAUGUGAUAGUGACAAGGAACCAAGACUCCAUCAGUGACAGAAAUGGAGAAAAAAAAACCUUGGGAGAAACCAGGCUCAGUCAGUUCUCUUCUGGUCAGACGAAACCUGCAUGGUGUGGUUUAAUUGCAGGCUGCAACACAGCGCACCACAGUUCCAUCAACUGUCCCAAGUGUCUAUGCUUGCACUUCUCCUGCAGUCCCUAUUAUCAGGUGGGUUUAAGUGAGAAUUUUUGCAUUGGAGGUAAUGCAUGGACGGAAACUGCAUGAAAAUUUGAACAGUGUCCCAAAAAAUUUUAUUUAUAAUAAAAUCUGGCGAUAUAUUUCAGUGAUCACCAAAGCUGCAUUUAUUUAAUGAAAAAUACUAUAUUUAUUUAUUUAUUUAUUUAUUUAUUUAUUUAUUAAAUGUAAUUUCAUUUAUUGCUGUGAUUUUUCAGCAGCCAUUACUCUAGUCUUUAGUGUGACAUGGUCAUUCAGAAAUCAUUCUAAUAUGUUAGCUUGGUGCUCAAGAAACAUUUAUUAUAGGUUUAAAAAAAAAAAAAAAAAGAAUGAUUCAUAGAUUAAUUCAUUGAUGAUGUUUUUUCAGUGAUAUAAUGAUCUUGUCAAAUGAAGUGUCAGUUUGAAUGUACUGGCUAAAAACUGUAGUCUUUUACGGCUUACGUGCUUCUGCUGUGCUGUAGCAGACCAUCUUCUCCUCCUGAACUCAGUUUGAGUCUCGCAUUGGGGC